AGUAACGCGUAGUCCAUUUAACCUAUGGACGGGAAUAACCUUGGGAAACUGAUAAUCCUGCCCGAUAGAACAUUAUGCCUGGAAUGGUUUAUGUUCCAAAUGAUUUAUCGCCGUAGGAUGGGACUGCGGCCUAUCAGUUUGUUGGUGAGGUAAUGGCCCACCAAGACUAUUACAGGUACGGGCUCUGAGAGGAGUAGCCCGGAGAUGGGUACUGAGACACGGACCCAGGCCCUAUGGGGCGCAGCAGGCGAGAAAACUUUGCUAUGUGCGAAAGCACGACAAGGUUAAUCCGAGUGGUUUCUGCUAAAGAAACCUUUUGUCAGUCCUACAAACACUGAUGAAUAAGGGGUGGGCAAGUUCUGGUGUCAGCCGCCGCGGUAAAACCAGCACCUCGAGUGGGUCAGGAUGAUUAUUGGGCCUAAAGCAUCCGUAGCCGGCUCUGUAAGUUUUUCAGUUAAAUCUUGUACGCUCAACGUACAG
rnacentral:rRNA from 1 species